AGUUUGGCCGCUGCCGGCCAGCGUCCUCUGGCCAUGGACACCCCGGAAAAUGUCCUUCAGAUGCUUGAAGCCCACAUGCAGAGCUACAAGGGCAAUGACCCUCUUGGUGAAUGGGAAAGAUACAUACAGUGGGUAGAAGAGAAUUUUCCUGAGAAUAAAGAAUACUUGAUAACUUUACUAGAACAUUUAAUGAAGGAAUUUUUAGAUAAGAAGAAAUACCACAAUGACCCAAGAUUCAUCAGUUAUUGUUUAAAAUUUGCUGAGUACAACAGUGACCUCCAUCAAUUUUUUGAGUUUCUGUACAACCAUGGGAUUGGAACCCUGUCAUCCCCUCUGUACAUUGCCUGGGCGGGGCAUCUGGAAACCCAAGGAGAGCUGCAGCAUGCCAGUGCUGUCCUUCAGAGAGGAAUUCAAAACCAGGCUGAACCCAGAGAGUUCCUGCAACAACAAUACAGGUUAUUUCAGACACGCCUCACUGAAACCCAUUUGCCAGCUCAAGCUAGAACCUCAGAACCUCUGCAUAAUGUUCAGGUUUUAAAUCAAAUGAUAACAUCAAAAUCAAAUCCAGGAAAUAACAUGGCCUGCAUUUCUAAGAAUCAGGGUUCAGAGCUUUCUGGAGUGAUAUCUUCAGCUUGUGAUAAAGAGUCAAAUAUGGAAGAAAGAGUGAUCACGAUUUCUAAAUCAGAAUAUUCUGUGCACUCAUCUUUGGCAUCCAAAGUUGAUGUUGAGCAGGUUGUUAUGUAUUGCAAGGAGAAGCUUAUUCGUGGGGAAUCAGAAUUUUCCUUUGAAGAAUUGAGAGCCCAGAAAUACAAUCAACGGAGAAAGCAUGAGCAAUGGGUAAAUGAAGACAGACAUUAUAUGAAAAGGAAAGAAGCAAAUGCUUUUGAAGAACAGCUAUUAAAACAGAAAAUGGAUGAACUUCAUAAGAAGUUGCAUCAGGUGGUGGAGACAUCCCAUGAGGAUCUGCCCGCUUCCCAGGAAAGGUCCGAGGUUAAUCCAGCACGUAUGGGGCCAAGUGUAGGCUCCCAGCAGGAACUGAGAGCGCCAUGUCUUCCAGUCACCUAUCAGCAGACACCAGUGAACAUGGAAAAGAACCCAAGAGAGGCACCUCCUGUUGUUCCUCCUUUGGCAAAUGCUAUUUCUGCAGCUUUGGUGUCCCCAGCCACCAGCCAGAGCAUUGCUCCUCCUGUUCCUUUGAAAGCCCAGACAGUAACAGACUCCAUGUUUGCAGUGGCCAGCAAAGAUGCUGGAUGUGUGAAUAAGAGUACUCAUGAAUUCAAGCCACAGAGUGGAGCAGAGAUCAAAGAAGGGUGUGAAACACAUAAGGUUGCCAACACAAGUUCUUUUCACACAACUCCAAACACAUCACUGGGAAUGGUUCAGGCAACGCCAUCCAAAGUGCAGCCAUCACCCACCGUGCACACAAAAGAAGCAUUAGGUUUCAUCAUGAAUAUGUUUCAGGCUCCUACACUUCCUGAUAUUUCUGAUGACAAAGAUGAAUGGCAAUCUCUAGAUCAAAAUGAAGAUGCAUUUGAAGCCCAGUUUCAAAAAAAUGUAAGGUCAUCUGGGGCUUGGGGAGUCAAUAAGAUCAUCUCUUCUUUGUCAUCUGCUUUUCAUGUGUUUGAAGAUGGAAACAAAGAAAAUUAUGGAUUACCACAGCCUAAAAAUAAACCCACAGGAGCCAGGACCUUUGGAGAACGCUCUGUCAGCAGACUUCCUUCAAAACCAAAGGAGGAAGUGCCUCAUGCUGAAGAGUUUUUGGAUGACUCAACUGUAUGGGGUAUUCGCUGCAACAAAACCCUGGCACCCAGUCCUAAGAGCCCAGGAGACUUCACAUCUGCUGCACAACUUGCGUCUACACCAUUCCACAAGCUUCCAGCGGAGUCAGUGCACAUUUUAGAAGAUAAAGAAAAUGUGGUAGCAAAACAGUGUACCCAGGCGACUUUGGAUUCUUGUGAAGAAAACAUGGUGGUGCCUUCAAGGGAUGGAAAAUUCAGUCCAAUUCAAGAGAAAAGCCCAGAACAGGCCUUGUUGUCUCACAUGUAUUCAGCAUCCUUACUUCAUCUGAGCCAGCCUGCUGCAGGUGGGGUACUUACCUGUGAGGCAGAGUUGGGCGUUGAUGCUUGCAGACUCACAGACACUGAUGCUGCCAUUGCAGAAGAUCCACCAGAUGCUAUUGCUGGGCUCCAAGCAGAAUGGAUGCAGAUGAGUUCACUUGGGACUGCUGAUGCUCCAAACUUCAUUGUUGGGAACCCAUGGGAUGAUAAGCUGAUUUUCAAACUUUUAUCUGGGCUUUCUAAACCAGUGAGUUCCUAUCCAAAUACUUUUGAAUGGCAAUGUAAACUUCCAGCCAUCAAGCCCAAGACUGAAUUUCAAUUGGGUUCUAAGCUGGUCUAUGUCCAUCACCUUCUUGGAGAAGGAGCCUUUGCCCAGGUGUACGAAGCUACCCAGGGAGAUCUGAAUGAUGCUAAAAAUAAACAGAAAUUUGUUUUAAAGGUAAA
rnacentral:sRNA from 1 species